rnacentral:rRNA from 1 species
GACGGGUACGGGGAUUAGGGUUCGAUUCCGGAGAGGGAGCCUGAGAAACGGCUACCACAUCUAAGGAAGGCAGCAGGCGCGCAAAUUACCCAAUCCUAAUACAGGGAGGUAGUGACAAGAAAUAACAAUACAGGACUUUUUGGUUUUGUAAUUGGAAUGAGUUAAGUAUAAACCCCUUUACAAGUAUCAAUUGGAGGGCAAGUCUGGUGCCAGCAGCCGCGGUAAUUCCAGCUCCAAUAGCGUAUAUUAAAGUUGUUGCAGUUAAAAAGCUCGUAGUUGGAUUUCUGUUAAUAAUUUAUAUAAAAUAUUUUGAUGAAUAUUUAUAUAAUAUUAACAUAAUUCAUAUUACUAUAUAUUUUAGUAUAUGAAAUUUUACUUUGAGAAAAUUAGAGUGCUUAAAGCAGGCAUAUGCCUUGAAUACUCCAGCAUGGAAUAAUAUUAAAGAUUUUUAUCUUUCUUAUUGGUUCUAAGAUAAGAAUAAUGAU